rnacentral:snRNA from 1 species
GGAUCUGAGGGUGAUCUGGUUGUGACAUCUGUCAUCCCAGUCAUCACCAGGGAUGAUUCAGCUAUCUGACUGGCUAGGCAGGUGUCCCCUUCCACCCUCACCACUCCAUCUGUGUCCCUCCUGAAGCAUGGAGAGGAAGACUGUUUCUGGUUAUU